rnacentral:tRNA from 3 species
GUCCCCUUCGUCUAGCGGCCUAGGACAUCGCCCUCUCACGGCGAAAACACGGGUUCGAUUCCCGUAGGGGACGCCA